rnacentral:rRNA from 1 species
GACGGAGGAUGCAAGCGUUAUCCGGAAUGAUUGGGCGUAAAGCGUCCGCAGGUGGCAGUUCAAGUCUGCUGUCAAAGACCGGGGCUUAACUUCGGAAAGGCAGUGGAAACUGAACAGCUAGAGUAUGGUAGGGGCAGAGGGAAUUCCUGGUGUAGCGGUGAAAUGCGUAGAGAUCAGGAAGAACAUCGGUGGCGAAGGCGCUCUGCUGGACCGGCAUUGACGCUGAGGAGCGAAAGCCAGGGGAGCAAACGGG